rnacentral:rRNA from 1 species
AGAGUUAAAUAGUACGUGAAAUUGUUGAAAGGGAAACGAUUGAAGCCAGUCGUACCUACGGGAAAUCAACCUUUUCGAGUGGGGAUCGUAAGUGACGAGGAGCCUCACGGCCCUCGUUGCUUACGAGCCCCUGCUUCUGGGGCGUACUUUCCCGUGUGUAGGUCAGCAUCGAUUUCGCCCGCCAUAAAAUGACCGGGGGAAUGUAGCUUCGAUCUCGUAUCGGAGUGUUAUAGCCUUUGGUAGAUGUGGUGGUCGGGAUCGAGGAUUGCAACGAAUACCCUCUGGGCUAUCCGUCUGACCUCUGAAAGUCGCUCGGGUGCCGAAAGCGUGCUUACGGCUAUUCGAGUUGGCGGUCAAAAGGUUAGAACGCGGUUAAAUUCGUUAAGGAUGUUGACGUAAUGGCUUUAAACGACC